rnacentral:tRNA from 3 species
CCGCCCAUAGCUCAGCUGGUAGAGCAGUUGCCUCUUAAGCAAACGGUCCCAGGUUCGAGUCCUGGUGGGCGGACUA